rnacentral:rRNA from 1 species
UACAGAGGUCUCAAGCGUUGUUCGGAUUCAUUGGGCGUAAAGGGUGCGUAGGCGGCGCGGUAAGUCGGGUGUGAAAUCUCGGAGCUUAACUCCGAAACUGCAUUCGAUACUGCCGUGCUUGAGGACUGGAGAGGAGACUGGAAUUUCCAGUGGAGCGGUGAAAUGCGUAGAUAUUGGAAAGAACACCGAUGGCGAAGGCACUCUACUGGGCUAUUACUGACACUCAGAGACGAAA